AUUGAACGCUGGCGGCAGGCCUAACACAUGCAAGUCGAACGAGUGGCGGACGGGUGAGUAAUGUCUGGGAAACUGCCUGAUGGAGGGGGAUAACUACUGGAAACGGUAGCUAAUACCGCAUACCAUCGGAUGUGCCCAGAUGGGAUUAGCUAGUAGGUGGGGUAAAGGCUCACCUAGGCGACGAUCCAUAGCUGGUCUGAGGGGAUGACCGGCCAAAUGGGACUUGGGACACGGGCCAUAAUCCUACGGGAGGCAUCAGUUGGGAAGAUUGCACAAUGGGCGCAAGCCUGAUGCAGCCAGGCAGCGUGUAUGAAGAAGGCCUUCGGGUUGUAAAGUGCUUUCAGCGGGGAGGCUUUACCCGCAGAAGAAGCACCGGCUAACUCCGUGCCAGCAGCCGCGGGAAUAC
rnacentral:rRNA from 1 species